rnacentral:lncRNA from 1 species
CCCCCAGCCCCGGCACCCACCACUGUACUGUCUGUCUCUGCGGAUUGGAAUGCACUUCUCCAGCGACCUAACCGAGUCAUAUGCCACAGGAUGGGUGGACCGCAUGUGUUGAUCCAGCUCUUGGUGGACACUUGGGUUGCUUCCACAUUUCAGCUACUGGGAACAGCACUGCCCUGACGAUGGGCGCACAGAUAUCUCUUCAAGGUCCUGCUUUCAGUUCUCUUGGGCAUAUACCCAGAGUGGAAGUGCUGGGUCACGCACUAACUCUGUGUUUAACUGUUUAGGAAAGUCCAUGCCAUUUUCAUAGUAGCUGCACCAUUUUACAUCCCACCAGCAAGAACGAGGUUUUCUUUCUCCACAUCCUUGUCAAUGCUUGUACAUUUUUUUAAUAGUGGCCACCCUAAUAGGUGUGCUGUAUGCUUUAUAAUGUAAUAGAAAAAUAUUACUGACUAUGCAUGUACAUAUGGCUAAAGACAUUCAGCGUUGGCCGGGCACGGUGGCUC